rnacentral:rRNA from 1 species
UACGGGGGGGGCAAGCGUUGUUCGGAAUUACUGGGCGUAAAGGGCUCGUAGGCGGCCAACUAAGUCGGAUGUGAAAUCCCCAGGCUCAACUUGGGAACUGCAUCCGAUACUGGAUGGCUUGAAUUCGGGAGAGGGAUGCAGAAUUCUAGGUGUAGCGGUGAAAUGCGUAGAUAUCUGGAGGAAUACCGGUGGCGAAGGCGGCAUCCUGGACCGACAUUGACGCUGAGGAGCGAAAGCUAGGGGAGCAAACGGG